rnacentral:rRNA from 1 species
GACGUAGGGCGCAAGCGUUGUCCGGAUUUACUGGGCGUAAAGAGCGCGCAGGCGGCUGACCAAGUCCGAUGUGAAAGCUCCCGGCUCAACUGGGAAACGGCAUCGGAAACUGAUCGGCUUGAAGGUGGGAGAGGGUAGUGGAAUUCCCGGUGUAGUGGUGAAAUGCGUAGAUAUCGGGAGGAACACCAGUGGCGAAGGCGACUACCUGGCCCACUCUUGACGCUGAGGCGCGAAAGCUAGGGGAGCAAACGGG